rnacentral:tRNA from 1 species
GCGGGAAUGGCGAAAUUGGCAGACGCACCAUCUUGAGGGGGUGGCGCCUUAUGGGCGUGGGGGUUCAAGUCCCCCUUUCCGCA